CCUACGGGUGGCUGCAGUGAGGAAUAUUGGUCAAUGGGCGGGAGCCUGAACCAGCCAAGUCGCGUGAGGGAUGACGGCCCUAUGGGUUGUAAACCUCUUUUGCCGGGGAGCAAAGUUCCGCACGUGUGCGGUUUGGAGAGUACCCGGAGAAAAAGCAUCGGCUAACUCCGUGCCAGCAGCCGCGGUAAUACGGAGGAUGCGAGCGUUAUCCGGAUUUAUUGGGUUUAAAGGGUGCGUAGGUGGUUAAUUAAGUCAGCGGUGAAAGUUUGUGGCUCAACCAUAAAAUUGCCGUUGAAACUGGUUGACUUGAGUAUAUUUGAGGUAGGCGGAAUGCGUGGUGUAGCGGUGAAAUGCAUAGAUAUCACGCAGAACUCCGAUUGCGAAGGCAGCUUACUAAACUAUAACUGACACUGAAGCACGAAAGCGUGGGGAUCAAACAGGAUUAGAUACCCGUGUAGUC
rnacentral:rRNA from 1 species